UACGGAGGGUGCAAGCAUUAAUCGGAUUUAUUGGGCGUAAAGGGCGCGUAGGCUGGAGAGAAAGUCAGAUGUGAAAUCCUGGGGCUCAACCUCAGAACAGCAUUUGAAACUCCUCUUCUAGAGGGUAGGCGGAGAAAACGGAAUUCCACAAGUAGCGGUGAAAUGCGUAGAUAUGUGGAAGAACACCGGUGGCGAAGGCGGUUUUCUAGCUUACUCCUGACGCUGAGGCGCGAAAGCAAGGGGAUCAAACAGG
rnacentral:rRNA from 1 species